rnacentral:lncRNA from 7 species
AUUUCUAUCUUUGUGAAUAGUCUGUACCUGAAAGAACAGACUGAGGAAUUCUGAAAAGAUCUUCAUUAUUCUUUCUGAAAAAGUACAUAGGGGAAGAACCAAAACGCAGCAUCAUACUAGGCACUCUGAAGAAAAAUCCAUCCCAGCUGAAACUAAGACACUUUCAGAAUACAAAAUGCAGCAAAAAAAUCCAAACAGUAAAGACUCUAUUUAUUUUGUAAUAUGAGCGUUUCAAAAUUAUAUCAUGUUACUGCAUUGAUUAAGGAAGUUUUAAUUUGAAAACAAAUUUCAAGAAAUUUUCAGCUAACUUUUGGAAUGCUGACAUUGGAAAAUUUAACUCCCAUUUGGUUUGUCUUUUAUCAUUAAUUAACCAGUAGCGUUCAUGCACUAUAUUUGUUAUGGAUUUUUGUCACAAAAGAAAUCCUGGAUCUAAAUCUGCAUUUAAAUCAAAAAUCUGAAUUUAUCCAUAGAUUGCAACUUUACUUGAAUCAAGAAUAUAAAAGAUCAACCAGUGUUUUGUCAUGUUGAAUUUAGCAUGAAGGCAACAAGAAGAUGAGAAGACAAAUUUUAUUAUUAAUUUUCUUUUAAUUAGCAAGUGCCCACUACAGUUGAAACCAAAUGUUUCAGAUACCCCGUAAUUUGUGAAGUGAAUAGUGAAAGAAAAAAACUCUGAAUGUAAUAAAUUUUCCAUUAAAAAAUGUGUAGACACACACAAAAAAAGAUGGACAGUAUCAUUUCAAAAGGCAUAGAAAGUGAAUAAUGAGCUCUUUAUUCGCUGAAGUCUCUGAUAAAUCUGAAAAUUUAAGACUGCUGAAGAAGUUAAGGAGUUCAUCAUUUUUUGAUUGCUUUAUCUGGAUCAUAAAAUAAUAAUUAAAAUAAAAAUAACAUCAUUCUCUAUUUGGACUGUAUGUUUAACCAAAGCUACUCUGAGAGGGAGAGGGACAGUACUUUAAUAUUCCCCUUAGUGUCUCAUCUUUCUUAUCUCUUUGAACUGAAUAUUUUCCUUUUUGACUUUUUUUUUUUUUGAGCAAAUAAAGUUUUUGUGUGGGU